ensembl:lncRNA
ACUUACAAGCUGUUUACAGUGAAAACCACCAGUCAUCACUGAAAAUUGUCAUCUUGUGGAGACUGUGGUCCUGAGACCAAGAGUACAGCCUAGCAUAGGGCAGUGCCAUGGCUCUGGGUGUGCAUGUUGGAAGGGAUGUACAGACUGCGUUUCCAGAGUGUGCCUGCUGGAAAGAAGGCAUGUGACAAUUGCCUGACUUGCCCAAAUCAAUCUAUUUCUGAAUGCAAAAUCACCACCCUACACUACCUACUGUCUGGAGCAACUCCAGGCUGGAUUUGAUGUACUUUUGACUGAUAUCUGACCUACAGCCACAGAGAUUUCUUGAAGGUAUCCCCUAACUGAAGUCCCUCGGAGCAAAACUAGAUUGAUUGUCAGUAUUUUCUCAGUGUUUUCUUUCUUCUUGCGUUCACGUGGUUGUGAUAUGCUGCAGUGUAUUGGAGUCAACCUGAGAACUUUCCCCCACAGCCACAGCGUGUACUGUGUUGAGAACUGUCGCUUGUUGAGCCAUGCUGAUCUUAGCAGGGCUGCUUGUGGCUGGGAGGGAGAAAUGUUCUGUCCUUUUCUGAAGCACUUGUUCCAACAAAAAACUCACCAAAAAAACAAA